UACAGAGGUCUCAAGCGUUGUUCGGAUUCAUUGGGCGUAAAGGGUGCGUAGGCGGCGCGGUAAGUCGGAUGUGAAAUCUCGGAGCUUAACUUCGAAACUGCAUUCGAUACUGCCGUGCUUGAGGACUGGAGAGGAGACUGGAAUUUACGGUGUAGCGGUGAAAUGCGUAGAUAUCGUAAGGAAGACCAGUGGCGAAGGCGGGGUCUCUGGACAGUUCCUGACGCUGAGGCACGAAGGUCAGGGGGAGCAAAACGGGG
rnacentral:rRNA from 1 species